AAAUCUAAGAAAGAAGACGGUGUUAAAGAGGAAAAGCGGAAAAGGGAUUCGUCCACACAACCACCCAAAUCUGCAAAACCUCCAGCAGGGGGGAAGUCCUCCCAGCAGCCCUCGACACCCCAGCAGGCACCCCCCGGGCAGCCCCAGCAGGGCACAUUUGUGGCCCACAAGGAGAUCAAGUUGACACUGUUGAAUAAGGCGGCUGAUAAAGGAAGCAGGAAGCGCUAUGAACCAUCAGACAAGGACAGGCAGAGCCCUCCUCCAGCCAAGCGGCCCAACACAUCCCCAGACCGAGGUUCUCGGGACCGGAAGUCAGGUGGGAGACUGGGCUCCCCGAAGCCAGAGCGGCAGAGAGGCCAGAACUCCAAAGCCCCUGCAGCCCCGGCUGACAGGAAGCGCCAGCUGUCACCCCAGUCCAAGAGCUCCAGCAAGGUCACGAGCGUGCCCGGCAAAGCCUCGGAUCCCGGCGCCGCCAGCACCAAAUCAGGGAAGGCCAGCACGCUGUCUCGGCGGGAGGAGCUGCUGAAACAGCUGAAGGCCGUGGAGGAUGCUAUUGCACGCAAGCGGGCCAAGAUCCCCGGGAAAGCAUAGGCCGUGCCCCGACCGGACUGGACGCAUUUUUAUACAUAGGAAGUCCCGCAGGACAGACAGACACAGACAGCGCUAGUGACCAGCACGGUUCUCAUGUAAAUUACAAGCCCCAGCCGCCAGCCCCGCCUUCUCUUCCUCCUCCUCCGUCUUCUUCCCUGGCCCUGGUCAGGCCUGUGGAGCCCCAGCUCUGGGUCCCUAGCCCGGGUCCAGGCAGCCAGGCUCCCUCCUGAGCUGAGAAACGGAACCUCGCGAACCACUGGUGGCACAUCCUUCUCCUCCCCCGCCCCUGAUCACCCGCCCCCGGAUCAGAAAUAUAUCUAUAUUCUCGACUAAAGUCUCAUCAGGAAAUAUUUCCUGUCUUUUAUUUUAAGCAUCAAAUUGUUUUAGUUGAUUUAAAAAGGAAAAAAUACAGAAAAGACCAAAAAAAGGCCAAGGGUGUUGUUGGGGCGUCUGUCUAAUGUGGUGGGUCUUUUUUUG
rnacentral:lncRNA from 1 species